rnacentral:rRNA from 1 species
GACGUAGGGCGCAAGCGUUGUCCGGAAUUAUUGGGCGUAAAGAGCUCGUAGGCGGCUUGUUGCGUCGACUGUGAAAAACCACGACUCAACCGUGGGACUGCAGUCGAUACGGGCAGGCUAGAGUUCGGUAGGGGAGACUGGAAUUCCUGGUGUAGCGGUGAAAUGCGCAGAUAUCAGGAGGAACACCGGUGGCGAAGGCGGAUCUCUGGGCCGUAACUGACGCUGAGGAGCGAAAGCAUGGGGAGCGAACAGG